rnacentral:rRNA from 1 species
AUUGAACGCUGGCGGCAGGCCUAACACAUGCAAGUCGAACGAGCGGCGGACGGGUGAGUAAUGUCUGGGAAACUGCCUGAUCGAGGGGGAUAACUACUGGAAACGGUAGCUAAUACCGCAUACUAUCGGAUGUGCCCAGAUGGGAUUAGCUAGUAGGUGGGGUAAAGGCUCACCUAGGUGACGAUCCCUAGCUGGUCUGAGAGGAUGAUCAGCCACACUGGAACUGAGACACGGCCCAGACUCCUACGGGAGGCAGCAGUGGGGAAUAUUGCACAAUGGGCGCAAGCCUGAUGCAGCCAUGCCGCGUGUAUGAAGAAGGCCUUCGGGUUGUAAAGUACUUUCAGCGGGGAGGCGUUACCCGCAGAAGAAGCACCGGCUAACUCCGGGCCAGCAGCCGCGGUAAUAC